rnacentral:rRNA from 1 species
AUACGGAGGGUGCAAGCGUUAUUCGGAAUCACUGGGCGUAAAGGACGCGUAGGCGGGUUGGCAAGUCAGAUGUGAAAUCCUACAGCUUAACUGUAGAACUGCAUUUGAAACUGCUAACCUAGAGUAUGGGAGGGGGAGAUGGAAUUAGUGGUGUAGUGGUAAAAUCCGUAGAUAUCACUAGGAAUACCGAAAGCGAAGGCGAUCUCCUGGAACAUAACUGACGCUAAGGCGUGAAAGCGUGGGGAGCAAACAGGAUUAGAUACCCUAGUAGUCC